rnacentral:rRNA from 1 species
GUGUCAGCAGCCGCGGUAAUACGUAGGCAGCGAGCGUUGUUCGGAGUUACUGGGCGUAAAGCGUGCGUAGGCGGUGGUCCAAGUCUGGUGUGAAAUCUCCCGGCUCAACUGGGAGGGUGCGCCGGAAACUGGGCCGCUGGAGUAUGGGAGAGGCAAGCGGAAUUCCAGGUGUAGCGGUGAAAUGCGUAGAUAUCUGGAGGAACACCCGUGGUGCAGACGGCUUGCUGGACCAUCACUGACGCUGAGGCACGAAAGCGUGGGUAGCAAACAGGAUUAGAAACCCGCGUAGUCC